GCACUUCAUGUGAUCUCAAGGCGUGGUGGUGCUGGAUGAGAUUCGGCAACGUUUCUCAAACUUUUUUUGCUGCAAUCUGCUGAGAUUAUCACUUUUAAAUGUUCUUAUGUUUUAGUAGUUAUAGAACAUUUAGAGUUUAGCAUCUGAACUUUCUGAUUUUUAUUCCCCUUUCCAGGUGAACUGACUCAAGGUGAGCUGUACUCGGCCAUCAAGUGGGGAGAUGCACUUCUAUGAAUUAGUGGAGGACACUAAAGAUGGCAUUUGGCUGGUUCAGUUCCACCGUUUGUCCACCAGAUGGUGCCAUUGGGUUACUUCUGUCUUGGGAUUGCCUACACCUGUUAAUUACCCACACCUGCAACUAAUCUCUCAUCACCUCAGAAGAGUAUAUUAGCAGCUGACUGUCAUCACCUCUUCGCCAGAGUGUUUGCCUGUUUGGGCAGGAAACCUAUAGAUCCUCUGGGAUUUUUCAAGUCCUUCAAGAAAAUUUCUAGAGACGCUGAGAGUUCCACAACUCACCUCCUCUGAACUCCAACCAAUUCAAGAUUUCCAGCUGACAGUCUGCUCUGCUGUGCCAACAGAAACUUAACUGUCCGCCCUCCAACGACUCGUCCACCUUCAACCAGCCAAGGCCUCCACAAACUGGAACCUCAGACCACCCUCCAACUCAAGCAGAGAGUUCAAUCGCACCUGGAUUCCUGGCCGCAGGACCCCCAAGCUGACAUAACUCGGUUUGUCUCUUUGUUUUAAGGAAAAGAAAAUGAUAUGAAUGAAUGAUAAAAAUUACAGACCCUGUCAUCUUUCUGAAAAUAAAAGAAUAUUUGUGACUGAAUACUUAUUUGCAAUACCAUAAAAAGCUGCAAUAAUCAUACAUUACAUUUUCUCAACUGCCAUUUACCAAAUGUGUUGCUUGUAAGAUUUCAUAAAACCUGGGAUUCUCAGAUAUUAGUAACCUGUGAAAAGAUUUACUUUGUUUACAUGAAUCAAUGUAUUUUAAAACCUUGAAAAUGGCGUGUUAAGUUUGUGGUCUUUAUAUUACAAACAUUUCAUCCAUGUUGACUUUUUUGUAAAUAAUAAAUACUGAUUCCUUUUGGGAAA